UAGCUAGUUGGUGAGGUAACGGCUUACCAAGGCGACGAUCUGUAGCGGGUCUGUGAGGAUGAUCCGCCACACUGGAACUGAGACACGGUCCAGACUCCUACGGGAGGCAGCAGUGGGGAAUUUUGGACAAUGGGGGCAACCCUGAUCCAGCCAUGCCGCGUGAGUGAAGAAGGCCUUCGGGUUGUAAAGCUCUUUCGGCCGGGAAGAAAUCGCAUGGGCCAAUACCCUGUGUGGAUGACGGUACCGGAAUAAGAAGCACCGGCUAACUACGUGCCAGCAGCCGCGGUAAUACGUAGGGUGCGAGCGUUAAUCGGAAUUACUGGGCGUAAAGCGUGCGCAGGCGGUUUUGUAAGACAGGCGUGAAAUCCCCGGGCUCAACCUGGGAACUGCGUUUGUGACUGCAAGGCUAGAGUACGGCAGAGGGGGGUGGAAUUCCACGUGUAGCAGUGAAAUGCGUAGAGAUGUGGAGGAACACAAAUGGCGAAGGCAGCCCCCUGGGUCGAUACUGACGCUCAUGCACGAAAGCGUGGGUAGCAAACAGGAUUAGAUACCCUGGUAGUCCACGCCCUAAACUAUGUCAACUAGGUGUUGGGUGGGUAAAACCAUUUAGUACCGUAGCUAACGCGUGAAGUUGACCGCCUGGGGAGUACGGCCGCAAGGUUAAAACUCAAAGGAAUUGACGGGGACCCGCACAAGCGGUGGAUGAUGUGGAUUAAUUCGAUGCAACGCGAAAAACCUUACCUACCCUUGACAUGCCAGGAACUUGCCAGAGAUGGCUUGGUGCCCGAAAGGGAGCCUGGAUACAGGUGCUGCAUGGCUGUCGUCAGCUCGUGUCGUGAGAUGUUGGGUUAAGUCCCGCAACGAGCGCAACCCUUGUCGUUAAUUGCCAUCAUUUAGUUGGGCACUUUAGCGAGACUGCCGGUGACAAACCGGAGGAAGGUGGGGAUGACGUCAAGUCCUCAUGGCCCUUAUGGGUAGGGCUCCACACGUCAUACAAUGGUCGGUACAGAGGGUCGCCAAGCCGCGAGGUGGAGCCAAUCCCAGAAAGCCGAUCGUAGUCCGGAUUGCAGGCUGCAACUCGCCUGCAUGAAGUCGGAAUCGCUAGUAAUCGUGGACCAGCAUGUCACGGUGAAUACGUUCCCGGGUCUUGUACACACCGCCCGUCACACCAUGGGAGCGGGUUCCGCCAGAAGUAGGUAGCCUAACCGCAAGGAGGGCGCUUACCACGGCGGGGUUCGUGACUGGGGUGAAGUCGUAACAAGGUAGCCGUAGGGGAACCUGCGGCUG
rnacentral:rRNA from 1 species